rnacentral:rRNA from 1 species
CCUACGGGGGGCUGCAGUGGGGAAUAUUGGGCAAUGGGCGCAAGCCUGACCCAGCAACGCCGCGUGAAGGAAGAAUGCUUUCUGGUUGUAAACUUCUUUUCUCAGGGACGAAGCAAGUGACGGUACCUGAGGAAUAAGCCACGGCUAACUACGUGCCAGCAGCCGCGGGGAUACGUAGGUGGCAAGCGUUAUCCGGAUUGACUGGGUGUAAAGGGCGUGUAGGCGGGACUGCAAGUCAGAUGUGAAAACCACGGGCUCAAACUGUGGCCUGCAUUUGAAACUGUAGUUCUUGAGUACUGGAGAGGCAGACGGAAUUCCUAGUGUAGCGGUGAAAUGCGUAGAUAUUAGGAGGAACACCAGUGGCGAAGGCGGUCUGCUGGACAGCAACUGACGCUGAGGCGCGAAAGCGUGGGGAGCAAACAGGAUUAGAUACCCGGGUAGUC